rnacentral:lncRNA from 1 species
CUCAGAGCCAACCAGAUCAUCACACUGAGGAAGAAAUAGACUAGGGAUUCUUCAUCAUGAUCUUUAAAGAGCAACCAUGCUGACACCAUAAGAGUUCCAAGCAAGGAACCCUCUCAAACCCUGUUGCAGCCUGUCACAUGUACUGUGACAGCACCCAUGCACGUGGAAAGAGAUUCAAAGCAAACUCCUGAAUGGCAAGAUCUCCCUUCUCCCAUCAGUUUUCCCCCAGGGAGAGAGGCCCACCAGAAUCCUGAAGGAGCUGUUCCCUGAAAUUUAAGUGAUGACAUGAAUCUGAGGACCUGAGGGAUGGAUGUAGAAGACACAGAGCUGUUUUACCUUCAAAAAUUCCCUUUCAAGGAAGGACUUGUCCCAGGUCCUAAGAGCGCUGUCAGAAAAACAUCCUCCAGCUCUCAGCUCUUUUCAGGCUUUCUCCUCACUGCAGGGUGCCAACUCAUCUGAGAGCACUCCCUUUCUGGGGUGGAAGACAUCCAGAGACUGACUGUGGCGUGGCUAUAAAGGCCCAGCCAUUUCAGCCCGCGAGGGGAUGACUCAGAGGAUCCCUUAUCCUCUAGAGCACUCCAGUGGGGUCGGUCCGCAUCACAGCCUGAUUUCUGUCUUUUCCUAAUCUGCUUCCUCCCGCUAGCUCCCACAAGAAUUGAUUCCUCAUGGAAAUCCUGCAUGCUAAACUCCAUCUCAGAAUUGUGUGCUUACAGCAAACACAACCUGAAACACUAGCCUUUCUAAAGCUUCAGUCCUGUCUGUUAUUUAGUUCCUUCUAUAUAUAUAUAUGUAUAUUCUCUUCUUAAAAUUCUCAUUCGCUCCAAAUCUUACGUCUUUGUCUAAGCUCUAGACUUACAUUUCCUUCCGUCCAUUUGUUAUUUUCACUGAGUAUCCCAGCAUCAAUUCAAGCUGUCCAAAAUGAACACAUCUCUUCCUCCUUAUAACAUUCUAAUUUAUGUUGAUGAUAUUUAUCUUCUUAUGUCCUUCCCCAUAUUCCACCUAUGGUAUUUUAGGCUCAUAAUUAUUUUGUUACCUUUAAUCUCUCACAUCGUAAUAGGCUUUCAAAUAGCUGACUUUUUCUCUGCUGUAAUUACCCACAUCUUUCUACUUGCUUGUCUAGAGGGACUCUGCCUGUCUUUUCCCCCACACCCUCCUCAUUGUAGCACAUUCUUGCACAGUAUCCUAAAUCAGAGUAGGUUCUUAACUCUUAUUUUUUCUAAUGAAUACUGACUGCAAUAGCUACUGCAAAGAUUUUUCCUCUGGCAUUUCCAUCCUCCCAAACUGUCUGUGCACUGUAGCCACACUGAUAUUCCAUACUGCAAAUCACUCUUAUUUGAUUGAUUUUCCUUUUCUAAAAUCUUCAGGAUUUCCUGAAGGAAAUAUCCUUAUUUCCCUAAGGAUAUGAGCCAGAUUCCUUGGGUUGGUCUUCAAAGCUUUGCACUGUCUAAAUGCACUCUCCUAACCUGAUUUGUCAUUUGUUCUUGAUAGUAAAUUAUCUGUUCUUAACCAGGUCCUUCUGCCCCCCACCAGAAGAGUGAUGUUGUUCUGAUCAGCCUUUCCUCAAAUUGUUCCAUAAUGUGGACUAUGGGGGUAACCCUGCUAGCUGAAAUUCUCCCUCUCUCUGAAUCUGACACCUUUUCCACUGUUUCAGCCAAUCAUCUUUCCCUCAUCUGAACUCCUAUACAGGAGUGGACUUUGCAUCACUCAAUUUUUUACUUUGCAUACAUCAGUAAAUGUAUUUUAAGUCUCUACCAUGUUUUAAACACUAAACUGAAUGCUGAGAAGACAGAGUAAUGAGAAGUGUUUUCUGUUCUCAGGAAGUACUGAGGCGGAGUAGAUGCAUAAAUAAGCUAGUGCAGUGAGACUCGAAGGGGCUCUAAUACAUGUCUGCUUUGCAUAAAACAACAGGCAAACGAUUUUCAGGAGUAUUGGAAGGGCAACAUAAAGGAAAGAAUAUUUGUGUUUUCUCUUGAUAAAUAAAUAGAUGGUCACUAGAAUUGUGCUGUCGGGAUAGGUUUAUGGGGUGUAUAUUCUUGGCAGAAGAGACAAGCUGAACAGAAGCAGGGAAAAUGGACUAGCAGGUGAAAUCUAAGGAACCGCUCUUGUGGGCAGCAGAAGACGUGGGAAGUAAAGGGAGAGCUUGUACCCAGAUCUCAGGCGACCUUGUGAGGCAUUCCAAGGAGUCUGAAUUUUGUUUUGUUGGCAGUGAGGAGGGAACACCACAAAAUAUGUUUAAUUCAGUGAAUAACAUGUUCAAAUUUGAGUUUUAGGAUGAUCACAAAAUCACAUAUUAUUAUUUGCUUUUAAAAAUAUAGAUCCAGUCUCUAAAUAUAAAACAAGUUGUUGGAAGAAAGUGUCUUGGAUAUGAUAGGAGAUUUAAAAAAAUGCAAUUUUUUUUCCUUCAUCCUACUGCCAAUAAAAGUUAAGUUUUAGUUACCUUAAGCCAGUAGCUUUAAACAGUUGGGCACAUAUACGUACC